CUGCUAUUUUGGUGUAGGGUCGUUCUUGUUGGCAACCUUAACUAAUUAGCCUCCAAAUGGAAGAACAUUGAUUUUGAUGACGAUGAAGAUGACUUCAACAUGGCUGACGACAAUGAUGAUGAAGCGGCGUAUUAGAUGUUGCUCUUGGGAAUGCUUUUCUGGCUUUCUUCAACUUGGCAAAUGGAAGCAUUCCUUUUCCCCAUACCAAAUCAGAUGAGUUUGAGUAAUUAGCAUAAGGUUGCUAUACAGUCAGAGGGCCUUCUUUUUUGUUUUUUGCCAUUUUUUUCUGAUUGAUUAGGUAAAGAAUCAAACUGCUAACCCUACUGCUUCUUUUUAGAUACCAUGCCAUGUUGAUUUGACCGAAAGAAUCUUAUGGCUUUUCUAAAGUGCAAAGGAGGCUACAUUACAGUGAGGGGAUGAUGGAACUCACUUGGUUGCUUAUAUCGGUUUGAGUGAAUUAGAUUAUCUCACUUAAAUAUAUGUUCAUCUCUUCCAGAUUGUGUCAAGCAUCCAAAGAUCAGCCAUCAAGUGUAUUGCUUCUUUGCCACUCAGCAGUUACUAUAAUGUUUGCCAUUGCAUAUUCUGUUUUUGCUUUCUGUUCACUGUAUUUCUUUUUUAAAUUUUCGUCUUGAAUUUAGCCAUUUGUAAGUUUUUGA